rnacentral:misc_RNA from 1 species
GGAACGGCCAGUGUGGUAGAUUUUCUGGAUUCGUUGAUCUGAACUGUUACGGCGGAGCCUACGGUUGAGCAUGUCGAGAUGAGGAUAAGAAUUGCUGCGGCGACGUAUACACCGUUUUUCACCAAGUAGCACUCGCCGCCCAACCAUCCCGCCGCGUACGGCUGCCGUCUGCUCAUACUCGACGCGGCGCUCAGUAGCAAUAUCACCACG